rnacentral:tRNA from 1 species
GGGUGGAUAGUAUCAAUCUGGUAAUAUGUAUGGCUCCAGACCAUAAGGUGCAGGUUCAAAUACCUGUUUCACCCA